AAGGAGGAAAAGGGGGAGAAGAGGGGGAAAGGGGGAAAAUAGGAGGAAAAGGGAGGGAAAGGGAGGAAAAAGAGGUAAAAGGAAGAGAAAAGGAGAAAAAAGAGGUGAAAAGGAGGAAAAGGGGGGAAAAAGAGGGGAAAGGUGGUGGAAGAAAAUAAAGGGGGGAAAGGGAGCGAAAAAGGAAGAAAAAAAAAAGGGGAAAAUGGCUGUUCCUGCUGCAAACAGCCCGACCCACGGUCCCUUUUUAGCCUCUUGACGCCUCCAUGUAGAGAGGCUGAAAGAAAACUUUAUUGAAGUUCGGGUAAACGGCAAAACCGGGUUCAUGGAAAGGCCAACUUUUCUAUCCCAGCAGCUCUAUUGGAGGCGAGCAAGCUGACCCCGGAGCCCUCCUGACCCGCUGCCUCUCCCAACGUUGUACCUUCUGUGUCUGCGGACAUAGAUUUAGAGGCACCAUCGCUGUUUCGAGGCUUUAGAUGCUCUCCCUCCCGGCUGGUCCAGGAGCGCUCCCAGCCACAUCAUCCAUCACAAGUGGGGGAUGAGUCUUUCCAUGAAGCCCCGAUGGAGAACAAAACCAUCCACACUAGGUCACGGUCACGGUUUGGCCGUUUCCAUGCAGGGAUGGACCAUUUCUUGGCAGAACGGGCCCAAAACCAGCCAAGAGGCAAUGGAGCAACCUCCAUCCUCCCACGCACCGUGGCGUGGAUGCUCUCGGCGCUGGUGGUCUGAUGCAUACCCUGGAUCCUUUUCCUUCUCCUGUGCCCCUUCUUUGAGCUGGAGACCCCCAAACCAUUCCCUGCCAAGACGCUCAGCUCCCAUGGUCCCCCCACGCCGAGACGGAGGAGAAACACUGAUGGGGACAAGCUGCUGGCAAAGGCUGGGUGUCCAGUUCACGCCAGGGGUCGGCAUGGCAGAGCCUGAAAUGGUGUCGGCUCCUGCUGCUGGGUUUUGCUUUGAGAUUUAGGAUACUAAGGUAAGGCCAGAAAAAAGGUCUCACCAACACGUGCAACCAGCCCCGGUGAUGGCCUUUCCACCCACAGCAGCGCUUUCCUCUUAACUCUAAGAAAGGAGAACCCCUGCAGCAUAAAUACAGACCAACCUUACACUCACAAUCACCCCUUUUAUUCCCUGUACACCCACAAAUUUACAGCUGCCCCCUGCCCGUAACUCACAAAGCCCCCCCAAACCUACACGCCGAAAGCCGUCGCCUCCGUGACUUUGUAUUCUCCUUGCAAUAUUCAUGCGCGUAGGGUGGAAAUGUAAAUACAUCCAGGCUGUCCCGCUUUGAUUCAUGCUUUGGUAUCAAAUCACAUGUGCUUCCCCGUACGCAAUAAAUCUCUUUACGGUAACUCCACCUGAAUUGUUCUUUGUGUGUUUCUCGGAUCAGGAUGAAGAACGGCGGCUCGGGGGGAGCUGCAGACCCCCCCUCCUGCUGCCCACCAGCGAAAUAUUUCCCAGCGCACGCACGGGCUGACGUCUUCGGUGUGUGGAUGGGAUCGCCCUUGGGCUGGUCCAGCACCUCCAGAGCAGAGCUCAGAGAAAGAAAAG